GGCCCGGUGGCGGAGCGCGUACGCAGAGAACCCCGCAAGGUUUUCCAGCCUGGUUCAAUUCCAGGCCGGGCCUCCA
rnacentral:tRNA from 1 species